rnacentral:rRNA from 1 species
CUGGCUCAGAUUGAACGCUGGCGGCAGGCCUAACACAUGCAAGUCGAACGGUAACAGGAAGAAGCUUGCUUCUUUGCUGACGAGUGGCGGACGGGUGAGUAAUGUCUGGGAAACUGCCUGAUGGAGGGGGAUAACUACUGGAAACGGUAGCUAAUACCGCAUAACGUCGCAAGACCAAAGAGGGGGACCUUCGGGCCUCUUGCCAUCGGAUGUGCCCAGAUGGGAUUAGCUAGUAGGUGGGGUAACGGCUCACCUAGGCGACGAUCCCUAGCUGGUCUGAGAGGAUGACCAGCCACACUGGAACUGAGACACGGUCCAGACUCCUACGGGAGGCAGCAGUGGGGAAUAUUGCACAAUGGGCGCAAGCCUGAUGCAGCCAUGCCGCGUGUAUGAAGAAGGCCUUCGGGUUGUAAAGUACUUUCAGCGGGGAGGAAGGGAGUAAAGUUAAUACCUUUGCUCAUUGACGUUACCCGCAGAAGAAGCACCGGCUAACUCCGUGCCAGCAGCCGCGGGGUAAUACAA